rnacentral:rRNA from 1 species
UACAGAGGUCUCAACCGUUGUUCGGAUUCAUUGGGCGUAAAGGGUGCGUAGGCGGUCGCGCAAGUCGGAUGUGAAAUCUCAGGGCUCAACCCUGAAACUGCAUUCGAUACUGCGUGGCUAGGGUACUGGAGAGGAGACUGGAAUUUACGGUGUAGCAGUGAAAUGCGUAGAUAUCGUAAGGAACACCAGUGGCGAAGGCGGCUUCCUGGCCUGUUCUUGACGCUGAGGCGCGAAAGCUAGGGGAGCAAACGGG